rnacentral:rRNA from 1 species
UACGUAGGGUGCAAGCGUUAAUCGGAAUUACUGGGCGUAAAGCGUGCGCAGGCGGUUUUGUAAGUCUGACGUGAAAUCCCCGGGCUUAACCUGGGAAUUGCGUUGGAGACUGCAAGGCUGGAGUCUGGCAGAGGGGGGUAGAAUUCCACGUGUAGCAGUGUAAUGCGUAGAGAUGUGGAGGAACACCGAUGGCGAAGGCAGCCCCCUGGGUCAAGACUGACGCUCAUGCACGAAAGCGUGGGGAGCAAACAGG